rnacentral:lncRNA from 1 species
CUCUACUGCAAACUAAUUCAGUCGUGUGCGAUAUUCUGUGUAUGCAUAUACCGGUCUAACAUUAUCGUUUUCAUUUGCGUCCAACGAUGAUUCAUGAAAUUUAUAUCCCAUAAUCAACGAGACGAAGAUUUGUGACUUUGGUCGUGUAGCCAGCUGACAAAACCAGCCUAAGAAAAGCGUAGCAUCAAAGUGUUUUUGUGAACAAUUGAACGUACUUACUUUUUAGGGUUAGUGGCGUAAUCGUAAUAUCGGUCAACCACCCUCAUGGACGAUGCAUACUAGUGAGGGCCAGUACACUCUGGCUAGACAAAACUAUCGUACGAAAAAUGCGAGGCUCGGGAUGAGAGCAGCGGGACAAUACUUUCAAUAAUCACGCUGGGGACAAUGAUGUUGGCUCACGACGACAAAAUAACGUUAGUGAGGACAACCACCAUCGUCAGUGUAGCGGAAUAGACGGACGGCCGGAAGUACAAG